rnacentral:lncRNA from 1 species
GUCUCGCUCUAGUCACAUGUGUGAUCUCGCUCUAAUCAUAUGUGCACAUGCGUGUGCUCGCGUGUGCGCUCCCCAGCAGGGGGCGCCGGGUCUCGCUCUAGUCACAUGGGUGAUCUCGCUCUCAUCAUGUGUGCACAUGCGUGUGCAAGCGUGUGCGCUCCCCAGCAGGGGGCGCCGGGUCUCGCUCUAGUCACAUGUGUGCGCGGGGCUGUGGCUACACGUAUGUGCGCUCGCCAGCAGGGGGCGGCAGGAGAGGGGGAAGGGAGGGAGAGGGUCACGUCAGGGUCCCCCGAGGGUCAUGUCAAGGUCACGUCAGGGUCCCCCGAGGGUCACAUCAGGGUCCCCCGAGGGUCACGUCAGGAUCAUGUCAGGGUCACGUCAAGAUCAUGCCAUAAUCACGUCAGGGUCCCCCGAGGGUCACAUCAAGGUCACGUCAGGGUCAUGUCAGGGUCACGUCAAGGUCCCCCGAGGGUCAUGUCAGGGUCACGUCAAGGUCAUGUCAGGGUCCCCCAAGGGUCAUGUCAGGAUCACGUCUGGGUCACGUCAAGGUCCCCCCCGAGGGUCACAUCAAGGUCACGUCAGGGUCCCCCUCGAGGGUCAUGUCAAGGUCACGUCAGG